ACUCAGUGAUAACAGAUUUUUUUCCACCAACUGCAGGAGAUAGUGCUAAUCUUUUAAUAAAAGAUCCCAUUACAAUGGGAUCUGUCUGGACAGACUAUAAUAGAUCCCGAAAUACAGCCGUGCUAAUAUUAGAAGACAGUUGUUUGGGUGCCUCUCAGACGGGCCCAAGCCCCCCUUUGAAAGUGGGCAUGAAUCACAAAGCCCGCGGCCGCCGCACCUGCACCGCGCGCAUUCGGUGCAGCAGGCUGCCUCUGGAAGCUGAAAUUUUUCACUUUUGGGCCAUGCAAACCAUUUAAAUUCCCUCCUGCUUGUGAAGUCAUCUUGCCUAGAGCUGCACCUUGGAUAGUAUUGAUCUGUUUGGGAGAAUGUCUGCCCCGAAUCGGCACAGAUCAGUCAUCAAGAUUCUUGUUGGCCUGGCGUAAUUUUCUAGCCAAUUGUAGAAAAUGAGACACAGGUCAAUAUGGUCUCAUCUGGGCCUCCUGUGAGCAUCAGCAAAAGAGUCAUCCAAUUUCUGGGGUAUGAAACGGUAUCACACCUGUUUGGUGACAUCACAGAAAAACAGCUAUUUCUUUUACUGUUUUAUCUCCUAUAAAUGUUACAUUUUGGGUUUGUAGAUGUCUAAAUGUCAAGGGGACAUUUUAAAAUAAAAGUGCCUUCUUUCAUUUGUGUUGUAUGCUUCCAAGUUUGACUUCUUAUUUUUUUCCCUUUCUGCUCUGCCAAAAAAGUAAAUGUAAAUUAUGAGAAAUACAAUAGGACCACUUUGUAACUGACUUUCUGGGCAGUGCACAAAAAGACUGCUGUUCUCCGAUUGUUUUUUGUCAGCUUCAAAAGCUAUCUUCCUUCUGAAGUUUAUAAAUUUAAAAUAUUCGAGUUUAGCAAAUAAUUCAAUCUAGCUCCUAAGAUACCUAUUUUAAAUCCUAUGAAAUGGUUGUUUGAACCAGAACUGACCUGGUUAAAUUUUAGUCCCUAAAAAGGGAAUAUGGAAGGGGUAUGUGAGGUUACAUAGGGAAAAUUUGGAAGUCAUGGAGUAGCUUUUGCUCUUUGCCUUAAAAUUAAACGUCGCACUUUUUUGAAGUUAGGUAUUUUCCCAAAUGAGAUUAAGAUUUCAGAUGCAAAUAAUCAAUCUUGAUUAAACAGGAGAAUUUAAGCACUUGAGAAAUAGACUGAAGUGAUAUUAAAAUCAGAUUUUAUUCUUCUGGGUACAAAACUGGUUACUUAAUGCGUCAUAGUCUUUGGUGUUGUGUAACAUCAUAGGCUAGAUGAGGAUUGGGGGUAGUGGUAAUAGUUCUGUAUUGGCUGAAUUGUUGCAGAACUAAAAAGUUAAGAAAUGUGAGUACAUAAAAGCAAUGUUUAUUCAAGAUGUCCAAACCAUCAGUUAACUUUUUAAAAAUGUCAUUAGAAUAUAUACUUUUAAAAUACGGUAUUGAAAAAACAAACAAUUGUUACCUGAAUUUUUCUCUUUCCAAUGUUGCUUUUAUGUUAUAAAGUCAGCGUUUUAUAACAGCCUUUUCUUUUUGAUAAUACUUGUUUCUAAUAUUUUAUUCCUUAUGCUACUGCUGCUGCUAAGUCCCUUCAGUCGUGUCCGACUCUGUGUGACCCCAUAGACGGCAACCCACCAGGCUCCCCUGUCCCUGGGAUUCUCCAGGUCUAAAGUUCACAACCAGUCCAUCCUAAAGGAAAUAAGUCCUGAAUAUUCAUUGGAAGGACUAAUGUUGAAGCUGAAACUCCUGAUACAAAGAGCUGACCCAUUUGAAAAGACCCUGAUGCUGGGGACGAUUGAAAGCAGGAGGAGAAGGGGACGACAGAGGAUGAGAUGGUUGGAUGGCAUCGCUGACUUGAUGGACAUGAAUUUGAAUGGACUCUGGGAGUUGGUGAUGGACGGGGAGGCCUGGCGUGCUGCAGUCCAAGGAGUAGGACAUGACUGAGAGACUGAACUGAACUGAACUGAAAGUUCACAAGACACUUAGACGUGACUUUAUAUACCCUAUUACAUCCUUUAUAGACUUUUAAUUAAUCAUCUUUCUUUGAAGAAGAAUUCAUUCCAAACCUAUUUUGCACUUUGCCUCUGUAUCUCCUAAGUUUGGAUCUGUCUUUGGGUUUUCUGCUUUGUUCUAUUCCUCUAUUUGUUGAUCCUAUGUUGGUCUCAGAAUCUUGACUACUAUGAGGAAGUCAGGUAAUGUAAUUCCUUCAACUUCUUUCUUUUUCAAGAUUGCAAGUACAUUAUAUACAAUUGAAUAUUGUAGUUGUGUUUUCAUAUAAAUUUUAGAAUACAUUUGUUCAAUUCUAUAUGUACACACAAAAUGUUUGAUGGGAUUAUGAUUGGGAUAGAUCAGUUUAGGGAGAAUUGAAAUAUUAAAGUAACUAUGUGCCACAUAUAGAUAAUUUAAAGAAACACAAAAUAUUUCUGAAAUUGAAGGGGAUUAUAAGGAAUCAAAUAUUAGAAACAAGUAGUAUCAAAAAGAAAGGGCUGUCCAUGAUUGACUGAUCCUUUAACAUAAAAGCAAAAUUGAAAAAAGUCUUCAGGAGAUGGGAAUGGCAACCCACUCCAGUAAUCUUGCCUGGAAAACUCCUUGAACAGAAGAGCCUGGAGGGCUGCAGUCCAUCGGGUUACAUGACAGAGCACACACACGAUGGAGGUGGAGGAAGAUGGGUUGGUAGCAAUAAACAGAGGUAGAACUAAAAGAAAGAAAAGAGUCUUCAAAACCAUGAACAUGGUAUAUCUUUUCCAUUUACUUAAGUUUUAAUUGUUCUCAACUAUGGAUGGCUGGAUGGCAUCACUGACUCAAUGGACGUGAGUCUGAGUGAACUCCAGGAGUUGCUGAUGGACAGGGAGGCCUGACUUGCUGCGAUUCAUGGGGUUGCAAAGAGUCGGACACGAAUGAGCGACUGAACUGAACUGAACUGAACUGAUGGUUUGUAGAUCCAUUUUGUAUUUUAACAGUUAUUGAAAAACCAUGCAGAAAUAGAAUAAUAAAUACAGUUUCCAUCUCUUCACCUCAAAGGAUCUUGAUGAGUUAUAAAGAAUUCCUGGUGCAGGCUUAUACAUGUCUUCAAUACUUUUUAAGGCUGAUUACCUAUGGUCAGUUAAAAAGAAUGUAUUGAACACACUUUCCAGGAGUGGUGUACUAAUUCAUCAAAACCUCUUGCACUCAUUUUUUGGGUGUUCAUUUUAAACCACAGUCACUCCUUUAAAUGAAUAAUUUUUGUCACUGUGAGAUUUAUACCCACUGAAUAUUAAAAAUGAUCUUUUAUUGGUGAGUGUUCUAUUGAAUAUUUCAUACUUUUCAUAUGAAUAGGUUCCUACUCAAAACAAUCCAUCAUUGGGACUUUCCUGGUGGUUCAGUGGUUAAGACUCCAUGGUUCCAAUGCAGGAGGCACAGGUUCAAUUUCUGGUUGGGAAACUGGGAUCCCACAUGCUGUGUAGCCAAAACAAAACAAAACAAAUCAAUCCAUCAUAGUGCUUGAAUUUUGAGUGGUGGAAACAUGCAGUUCCCAUUGUGCCAACAUUUGGGUGACAGUUACUUUCUGCUGUAUUGGAGAGCUACAUC
ensembl:lncRNA